rnacentral:lncRNA from 1 species
AUGUGUUCAUUAAACACAAGGAAGAAGGAGACCCCCAGAUCUUGGAUAGAGGAAGUGUUCAGUAAAAGAGAAUGUGCAAACAUUAUUCCCUAUUUAAAAGAUCCUCACAGAUGUCCUGCAGGAUGCCAGGUGUGCCAGAAUUUAAUCAGGUAAAAGUGCAAAAAUAGUUUAUAUAUGAUUUUUGUAAUGACUUAAAGCUAGCAAUGGACAUUCCUGCUCUAGGAAGAAGCAACAACAAAAAAAUCCUUCCUCUUACAGUGUCAAAACACCAUUUCUAAGGGUCUGGGGGGAAAGUUUACCAUAAAC